rnacentral:rRNA from 1 species
UAGGGAAUCUUCCGCAAUGGACGCAAGUCUGACGGAGCAACGCCGCGUGAGUGAAGAAGGAUUUCGGUUCGUAAAACUCUGUUGUUAGAGAAGAACAGCGCAUAGAGUAACUGUUAUGCGUGUGACGGUAUCUAACCAGAAAGCCACGGCUAACUACGUGCCAGCAGCCGCGGUAAUACGUAGGUGGCAAGCGUUGUCCGGAUUUAUUGGGCGUAAAGCGAGCGCAGGCGGUCAAUUAAGUCUGAUGUGAAAGCCCCCGGCUCAACGGGGGGAGGUCAUUGGAAACUGGUUGACUUGAGUGCAGAGGAGAAGAGUGGAAUUCCAUGUGUGGCGGUGAAAUGCGUAGAUAAAUGGAGGAACACCAGUGGCGAAGGCGACUCUCGGGUCAGUAACUGACGCAGAGGCUCGAAAGCGUGGGUAGCAAGCAGG